AUUGAACGCUGGCGGCAGGCCUGACACAUGCAAGUCGAGCGGAUGAAGGUGGCUUGCUACCUGAUUCAGCGGCGGACGGGUGAGUAAUGCCUAGGAAUCUGCCUGGUAGUGGGGGACAACGUUUCGAAAGGAACGCUAAUACCGCAUACGUCCUACGGGAGAAAGUGGGGGAUCUUCGGACCUCACGCUAUCAGAUGAGCCUAGGUACGAUUAGCUAGUUGGGGAGGUAAAGGCUCACCAAGGCUCCGAUCGGUAACUGGUCUGAGAGGAUGAUCAGACACACUGGAACUGAGACACGGUCCAGACUCCUACGGGAGGCAGCAGUGGGGAAUAUUGGACAAUGGGCGAAAGCCUGAUCCAUCCAUGCCGCGUGUGUGAAGAAGGUCUUCGGAUUGUAAAGCACUUUAAGUUGGGAGGAAGGGCAGUAAGUUAAUCCCUUGCUGUUUUGACGUUACCGACAGAAUAAGCACCGGCUAACUUCGUGCCAGCCGCCACAGUAAAAC
rnacentral:rRNA from 1 species